rnacentral:rRNA from 1 species
AAAUGAAUAGACGGGGGCCCGCACAAGCAGUGGAGUAUGUGGUUUAAUUCGACGCAACGCGAAGAACCUUACCAGGGCUUGACAUCCUUCGCAAUCUGCAGAGAUGCAGAGUUCCCUUCGGGGACGAAGAGACAGGUGGUGCAUGGUUGUCGUCAGCUCGUGUCGUGAGAUGUUGGGUUAAGUCCCGCAACGAGCGCAACCCCUAUGGUCAGUUACCAGCACGUAAUGGUGGGGACUCUGGCAAGACUGCCGUUGACAAAACGGAGGAAGGUGGGGACGACGUCAAAUCAUCAUGCCCCUUAUGUCCUGGGCUACACACGUACUACAAUGGCAGCAACAGAGGGCAGCCACGUCGCAAGGCGGAGCGAAUCCCUAAAUGCUGUCUCAGUUCGGAUUGCAGGCUGCAACUCGCCUGCAUGAAGCAGGAAUUGCUAGUAAUGGCAGGUCAGCAUACUGCCGUGAAUACGUUCCCGGGCCUUGUACACACCGCCCGU